GAUGAACGCUGACAGAAUGCUUAACACAUGCAAGUCAACUUGAACUUCGGUUUGGGUGGCGGACGGGUGAGUAACGCGUAAAGAACUUGCCUCACAGUUAGGGACAACAUUUGGAAACGAAUGCUAAUACCUGAUAUUAUGAUUUUAGGGCAUCCUAGAAUUAUGAAAGCUAUAUGCGCUGUGAGAGAGCUUUGCGUCCCAUUAGCUAGUUGGAGAGGUAACGGCUCACCAAGGCGAUGAUGGGUAGCCGGCCUGAGAGGGUGAACGGCCACAAGGGGACUGAGACACGGCCCUUACUCCUACGGGAGGCAGCAGUGGGGAAUAUUGGACAAUGGACCAAGAGUCUGAUCCAGCAAUUCUGUGUUCACGAUGAAGUUUUUCGGAAUGUAAAGUGCUUUCAGUUGGGAAGAAAAAAAUGACGAUACCAACAGAAGAAGUGACGGCUAAAUACGUG
rnacentral:rRNA from 1 species